UACAGAGGGUGCGAGCGUUGUCCGGAAUCACUGGGCGUAAAGGGCGCGUAGGUGGCGCGACAAGUCAGUGGUGAAAGUUCGACGCUCAACGUCGAAUCGGCCACUGAUACUGUUGGGCUUGAGCACUGUAGAGGCUAAUGGAAUUCCGGGUGUAGCGGUGGAAUGCGUAGAGAUCCGGAAGAACACCGGUGGCGAAGGCGGUUAAGCUGGGGCAGUUGCUGGACAC
rnacentral:rRNA from 1 species